UGGCAUUGAGAUCACUCGCUUCGCGUGUUGGAUUAAGAUUGAUGAUGGAGGGGAACCUCCGAUCGUCCAGUUACAGCCUCCGCUACUUCAGCGAUGGUAAAGGUCGUGUCCUCAGUAAGGAAACUGUUUACAUUCAGAUUGAAGAAAAUGGAGAAAGAAAGGUUGGAGAAGCUCAAGAAGAAGGCGGAUCUGGAAAAACCUGACAAGGACAAAUCCGAUAAGGCUGCGGAAGACACCGAAAAGAGCUGAAAUUGGACGUCAGUUGUCGGUGACUAGCGAUUCUCCUGGUUUGUUUCCCUAAGACAACAUACAUGCUUUCGCUCACUUAGAUCUUGUUCAGGCUAUGGCGUAUGUACUAAAGUUACGUGACUAGUUGGUAU